GGACUUUUCAUUUGAAUUUCCGAUGGCCUUUAAACACAUCACCAAAAUGUAACUGCGCCACAACGAAGAUGCCGCCAUUCCGCUCUCCGGUCUUUGAGGUGAGUAGCAGCGUCUCUCCAAACUCACAACUUUUAAACGGCAUAAGCAGUGGUUUGGCAUUGAACAAUCAUAUUACGAAUAGUUUCUAACUCACACAGAAUUCAGAUACGACAAGUAUUUAUACGAGAAACGUUUAAAACAUUUUACUGCUGAAGCAUUAAUAAAAUGUUAGCGUGUUAAUAUUAGCAACUUGUUAAUGGUGGUACAGCCGUUUAACCCAGUUUGCCGGUUAGCAAUCAAAAAGCAACAGGGUCACGGUUUAUUAAGGGUAAAUGACAAACCUUUCCUAUAUCCCAUUUUUUAACUCAACUGCCCACCUUCACAGUAACUUGUGAUUUUUUUAAAUAUAUAUUUUAUGAAUUCUGAACACAGUCGAUGCUAGUCUCUGGCUAACUUCUUACCAGCCGUUAUAUACAGCCGUUAGCCGUUAGCCUGCACUCAGACGCACCGCCAUUACACUUUGAUGUGGUCAAAAGUCCCGCCAGAUCUGUCUCUCGCUAUAUUGCUUUAUUCAGGACAGAUUUGUCAGUCAGCUGUAUACUCAGUAGUUCAUCAGUGACUCAGUGCAUCUGCUCUACCAAUCAUGAUGAAUUUGACACUGAGGAUAUAAACCUCUAGCACAUGAUGCUGAUAAUAUUACAUAGAACUGACUUAGAGCUGAAGCGUGUGUGUGUCUUGACUGUAGGUCUGCUAGUUUACCUCACUAACCACACACGCUGAAGACACUAACAUAUUGUUUCCUCUCCUAGACUAAAGAGAAGGCUGAUUUGGAAUUGCGCUUUGGUUGAUCUGUGUUGGUGGCUCCUUGGAGACUUAAACGUGUCCAGCUGUGUGCCAACCUCUACCCUCUACUCUUGACCUGACGGGGCUAUCGGGGUCACACACCACUUUCCUGUCCCAUCUCAACUCAACACUAAUUUUGAGCCAAUCUAUCUCUCCUGUCCCAUCUCCUCAUUUCUAUCUUCUGUACCCCUUCUGUCCUCUCUAUCUCAUUUUGGGUAAAUGGAGAUAUUUUUGGAGCAUCUUUGAUCUGGGUCGAUGAUUGUUUCUAUAAACUAUAUUUUAUGAACUGAAGGUUUCUGCUGAGCUUUGUCAUUGUGUUGUUUGGGUCUGUGAGUCUCUGCUCACACAAUCUCUUCUCUCUCCUCUCCUCUGUCCUUAGUUUGAUAUUUUCUACAAAUUGGCAACAACCUGAUUUUCCACAUAUAUAGUUAAAACAUUUGUUGUAGAAAAAUAAUUAAUCUAAAUAAUUGAGUAAACUGCUCUUUUAAAAAAAUCUCUCUGGUCAUUCAAUUAAAGCAGUUUCAUUUUUGUCAUAAUGGAUUGACACAAAUAAUACUUUACUAUAUACUAUAUUCCUGAAUACAUUAUUGUACAGAAUAAAACAUCACAUUUCUCUGUGGGAAAUAUAUAGAAACAAUAAUUAUUAACUGAAGUCAAAACCACAUCUGUACCUAAGAAUCAGUUCAUUGUACAGAGAUCAACUAAAAACAUUCUUCAUCUGCAAAUACAUUAAUAUAAGAAUAGAGUGCUUAUUUUAAGUUAUUUCAUUCUUGAGAUAAAUAUACAUUCAUAUAAAUCAAAACUAAUUAGAUUGAAAAACUUUUCAAGUAUAAGAGCACUGUAUCUAGACCUCAGUCUGUUCCUGUUGAUUCAUUGUGGACUGCUACUCAGAGGUUUGUACUCAGGUUUGUGUUGACUGAAAAUAUUUGUCCACAACUACAUUUUUUCUAAUAUUCAGUGUGUACAAGUGUUUUGUUGUUGUUUAACCUGUUGAUACGUCAAUAAACUGAAAGACAUCUGUAAGGAACACCUGGAUUCAUUUGGACUGGCUGCUGGUCCUGGUCUGCAGACUCAACGUUCCUGACUGAAUCAACACGUGGCUGAAUCCACUCGUCUCACACCACACUACCACACUGUGUUUCUGAUUUUGAAUAGUAAAAUUAAUAUUAAAAGUCUAAAAGCAGUGGAUUACUCCAUUAACUACAUUUUGAAAAGCUGAAUU